rnacentral:rRNA from 1 species
GUCCCGCCUGCCCUGUGACAUAUGUUUAACGGCCGCGGUAUUUUGACCGUGCAAAGGUAGCGCAAUCACUUGUCUUUUAAAUGAAGACCUGUAUGAAUGGCACGACGAGGGCUUAACUGUCUCCUUCUUCCCGUCAGUGAAAUUGAUCUCCCCGUGCAGAAGCGGGGAUAAGCCCAUAAGACGAGAAGACCCUGUGGAGCUUUAGACACCAAGACAGCUCCCGUUAAAAAGGCUCACCCUCCUAAAACCCCGCUCUGUCUUACUGUCUUUGGUUGGGGCGACCGCGGAGAAUCAUAAAACCUCCAUGUGGAUUGAGAACACCAUCUCUUGCAACCAAGAGCUCCUGCUCCAAGCAACAGAACAUCUGACCAAAAAUGAUCCGGCAAAGCCGAUCAACGAACCGAGUUACCCCAGGGAUAACAGCGCAAUCCUCUUUUAGAGCCCAUAUCGACAAGAGGGUUUACGACCUCGAUGUUGGAUCAGGACAUCCUAAUGGUGCAGCCGCUAUUAAGGGUUCGUUUGUUCAACGAUUAAAG